ACGAACGCUGGCGGCAUGCCUAAUACAUGCAAGUCGAACGCUGAAGCACUCUGCUUGCAGAGUGCGGAUGAGUGGCGAACGGGUGAGUAACACGUGGGAAAUCUGCCUAGGAGUGGGGGAUAACAUUCGGAAACGGAUGCUAAUACCGCAUANCUUUUUGAACCGCAUGGUUCUUAAACGAAAGACGGCUUCGGCUGUCGCUCUUAGAUGAUCCCGCGGCGUAUUAGUUAGUUGGUGGGGUAAAGGCCUACCAAGACCAUGAUACGUAGCCGACCUGAGAGGGUGAUCGGCCACACUGGGACUGAGACACGGCCCAGACUCCUACGGGAGGCAGCAGUAGGGAAUCUUCCACAAUGGGUGAAAACCUGAUGGAGCAAUGCCGCGUGAAUGAAGAAGGUCUUCGGAUCGUAAAGUUCUGUUAUUAGAGAAGAACAAGUCAAGGAGUAACUGUCUUGACUUUGACGGUACCUAACCAGAAAGUCGCGGCUAACUACGUG
rnacentral:rRNA from 1 species